rnacentral:rRNA from 1 species
AACGCUAGCUACAGGCUUAACACAUGCAAGUCGAGGGGCAGCAUUGGGGUAGCAAUACUUCAGAUGGCGACCGGCGCACGGGUGAGUAACACGUAUCCAACCUGCCGCUUACUCGGGGAUAGCCUUUCGAAAGAAAGAUUAAUACCCGAUGGUAUAAAGAGUUCGCAUGUUCUCUUUAUUAAAGAAUUUCGGUAAGCGAUGGGGAUGCGUUCCAUUAGAUUGUUGGCGGGGUAACGGCCCACCAAGUCUACGAUGGAUAGGGGUUCUGAGAGGAAGGUCCCCCACAUUGGAACUGAGACACGGUCCAAACUCCUACGGGAGGCAGCAGUGAGGAAUAUUGGUCAAUGGACGAGAGUCUGAACCAGCCAAGUAGCGUGAAGGAUGACUGCCCUAUGGGUUGUAAACUUCUUUUAUAAGGGAAUAAAGUGAGGGACGUGUCCCUUUUUGUAUGUACCUUAUGAAUAAGGAUCGGCUAACUCCGUGCCAGCAGCCGCGGUAAUACGGAGGAUCCAAGCGUUAUCCGGAUUUAUUGGGUUUAAAGGGAGCGUAGGUUGACAUAUAAGUCAGCUGUGAAAGUUUACGGCUCAACCGUGAAAUUGCAGUUGAUACUGUAUGUCUUGAGUGUACAAGAGGUGGGCGGAAUUCGUGGUGUAGCGGUGAAAUGCUUAGAUAUCACGAAGAACUCCGAUUG